GAUGAACGCUAGCGGCAGGCUUAACACAUGCAAGUCGAGGGGUAUAGUAGCAAUACUAGAGACCGGCGCACGGGUGCGUAACGCGUAUGCAAUCUACCUUUUGCAGAGGGAUAGCCCAGAGAAAUUUGGAUUAAUACCUCAUAGACUAAUAUAAUCGCAUGCUUUUAUUAUUAAAGUAACAACGGCAAGAGAUGAGAAUGCGUCCCAUUAGCUAGAUGGUAAGGUAACGGCUUACCAUCGCAACGAUGGGUAGGGGUCCUGAGAGGGAGAUCCCCCACACUGGUACUGAGACACGGACCAGACUCCUACGGGAGGCAGCAGUGAGGAAUAUUGGACAAUGGGCGCAAGCCUGAUCCAGCCAUUCCGCGUGCAGGAUGACGGUCCUAUGGAUUGUAAACUGCUUUUGUACAGGAAGAAACCCCCCUUUGCGAAGGGACUUGACGGUACUGUAAGAAUAAGGAUCGGCUAACUCCGUGCCAGCAGC
rnacentral:rRNA from 1 species